rnacentral:rRNA from 1 species
CACGUAGGGGGCAAGCGUUGUCCGGAUUUAUUGGGCGUAAAGAGCUCGUAGGUGGCUGAGUAAGUCGGAUGUUAAAUCCCCAGGCUCAACCUGGGACACCACCCGAUACUGCUCUGGCUAGAGUCCGGUAGGGGAGCAUGGAAUUCCUGGUGUAGCGGUGAAAUGCGUAGAUAUCAGGAGGAACACCUGUGGUGUAGACAGCUUACUGGACCAUUUCUGACGCUGAGACACGAAAGCGUGGGUAGCAAACAGG